UACGGAGGGUGCAAGCGUUAAUCGGACUUGCGGGGCGUAAAGCGCACGCAGGCGGUUGGAUAAGUUAGAUGUGAAAGCCCCCGGCUCAACCUGGGAAUUGCAUUUAAAACUGUCCAGCUAGAGUCUUGUAGAGGGGGGUAGAAUUCCAGGUGUAGCGGUGAAAUGCGUAGAGAUCUGGAGGAAUACCGGUGGCGAAGGCGGCCCCCUGGACAAAGACUGACGCUCAGGUGCGAAAGCGUGGGGAGCAAACAGG
rnacentral:rRNA from 1 species